UACGAAGGGGGCUAGCGUUGUUCGGAAUUACUGGGCGUAAAGCGCACGUAGGCGGACUACUAAGUCGGGGGUGAAAUCCCGGGGCUCAACCCCGGAACUGCCUUUGAUACUGAUAGUCUCGAGUCCGGAAGAGGUGAGUGGAAUUCCGAGUGUAGAGGUGAAAUUCGUAGAUAUUCGGAGGAACACCAGUGGCGAAGGCGGCUCACUGGUCCGGUACUGACGCUGAGGUGCGAAAGCGUGGGGAGCAAACAGG
rnacentral:rRNA from 1 species